UACGUAGGAGGCGAGCGUUAUCCGGAUUUACUGGGCGUAAAGCGGGUGUAGGCGGCCUGUCAAGUCCGGUGUGAAAUCUCCCGGCUCAACUGGGAGGGUGCACUGGAUACUGGCAAGCUGGAGUGCAGCAGAGGAAGAUGGAAUUCCCGGUGUAGUGGUGAAAUGCGUAGAUAUCGGGAAGAACACUAGUGGCGAAGGCGGUCUUCUGGGCUGUAACUGACGCUGAGACCCGAAGGCGUGGGUAGCAAACAGG
rnacentral:rRNA from 1 species